ensembl:misc_RNA 7SK 7SK RNA
GAUUAUGACAGUGAUCUGGCCUCAACAUCCGUCACUCCAUUGAUCAGCAGGGUUGAUUCAGCUAGGUGUCCCCACCCUCCCUCACUGGCCCACGUGCAUCCCUCCCAAAGCUGCGUGCUAGGUCGAAGAGAAAGACCACUCCUGAUAGAGGAGGAACAUUCCUUGGUCAAGGGUAUAGAAGUGCUCCCGUGUUAUAAGCUCCAAACAAGCUCUCAAAAUAAAGGGACAAAUUUCAUAAUUAUUUUGGAAUUACUUAGAAAACUCCAUUGUCUAAGUUUUGUAUUGUUUUCUA